rnacentral:rRNA from 1 species
CCUACGGGUGCACCAGUAAGGAAUAUUGGUCAAUGGACGAAAGUCUGAACCAGCCAUGCCGCGUGGAGGAUGAAGGUCCUCUGGAUUGUAAACUUCUUUUAUCUGGGACGAAAAAAGGGUUUUCUAACUCACUUGACGGUACCAGAUGAAUAAGCACCGGCUAACUCCGUGCCAGCAGCCGCGGUAAUACGGAGGGUGCAAGCGUUAUCCGGAUUCACUGGGUUUAAAGGGUGCGUAGGCGGGCAUGUAAGUCAGUGGUGAAAUCUCCGGGCUUAACUCGGAAACUGCCAUUGAUACUAUAGGGCUUGAAUUAUCUGGAGGUAAGCGGAAUAUGUCAUGUAGCGGUGAAAUGCUUAGAUAUGACAUAGAACACCCAUUGCGAAGGCAGCUAACUACGGGUAUAUUGACGCUGAGGCACGAAAGCGUGGGGAUCAAACAGGAUUAGAUACCCGAGUAGUC